GGCCAGAUAAGAGAAUAAAAGCAGGCUGCCCGAGCCAGCAUUGACAACUCGCGGGGAUUGUUUUCCACACCGUGGAAGCUUUGUUCUUUUCGUUUUUUGCAAUAAAUCUUGUUGCUGCUCGCUUUUUGGGUCCACAUUGCUUUUAUGAGCUGUACCACUCACCGUGAAGAUCUGCAGCUUCACUUCAGAGCCUAGCGAGACCACAAGCUCACUGAGAGGAACAAACAACUCCAGACGCGCUGUCUUAAGAGCUAUAACACUCACCGCGAAGGUGUGCAGUUUCACUCCUGAGCUAGUGAGACUACGAAGCCACUGGAACGAAGAAACUCCAACCACGUUUGAACAUCAGAAGGGGCAGACUCCAGACGCUUCAUCUUAAGAGCUGUAACACUCACUGUGAAGGUCUGCAGCUUCACUCCUGAGCCAGCGAGACCACGAACCGAUCUGAACAUCAGAAGGGACAGACUCCAGAUGCCCCACCUUAAGAGCUGUAAUACUCACUGCAAGGGUCUGCAGCUUCAUUCUUGAAGUCAGACCAAGAACCCAGCAAUUCCCAACACACAGGGACCAGCUUCUUUCCUAACUCACUUAGGCUCUUCGUGCUGCUCUGGCAACUAACACCCUUGGCUGCAGGGGCUUGGACACUACCCUUAGUCACUGACAAUUGUGUGAAGGCUGCUGUCGUUAACUUCACUUGAUCACCUUAGGCUCCUGUGAAGUGGUGAGCAAUUCAAACAAAUUCCUGUCGUCAAAUCAUCAUUAAGAAGAAAAGAAAGAGCACUUGGAGGUCUGCUUGGAGAUCCCUGAGGUUUUUCACAGGCACAAUGUCCUUAUUUGGGAGCCUCAAAAUACCAGACUAACAUUGCUCAAAGCAGCUUUGGGAAGAGGGCAGGUGUCUGAGAUGCUGAGAGGCCAACUGAGCAGUUUUUUAGCUGGAGCCAUGGGCCACACCAGGAACAAACCACUGGACCAAAUUGACUCAGGACACCUGCUCUGGACCCAGUUUCUUCUCAUGUCUCCUCACCCCUAACUCUGCCCACCACCUCCCACUUCCUCUCUGUUCCCCAUCCCAUCCCAGGUUUGUAUUUAAAUUUCUGCAUAAUGCAUGUUCUCUGCAUGUUCUGAAGUACUUUCCAUCAAGUCCUUCAUUUUAAAAGUGUUUCUUUUAAAUGAAGCUGUGCAUAACCUCUUUUUGAGGCUCUCUUUGGCUUUUCUUGCACAAUUUUAAAUUGACCAGGUCUACUUGCAAAAAUAGACA
rnacentral:lncRNA from 10 species